rnacentral:rRNA from 1 species
CUUUCUUUGCUGGCGACCGGCGCACGGGUGAGUAACACGUAUCCAACCUGCCCUUUACUCGGGGAUAGCCUUUCGAAAGAAAGAUUAAUACCCGAUAGCAUAAUGAUUCCGCAUGGUUUCAUUAUUAAAGGAUCCGGUAAAGGAUGGGGAUGCGUUCCGUUAGGUUGUUGGUGAGGUAACGGCUCACCAAGCCUUCGAUGGAUAGGGGUUCUGAGAGGAAGGUCCCCCACAUUGGAACUGAGACACGGUCCAA